UGCCAGCAGCCGCGGUAAUACGGAGGGUCCAAGCGUUAUCCGGAUUUAUUGGGUUUAAAGGGUGCGCAGGCGGAACUUUAAGUCAGUGGUGAAAUCUUGCCGCUUAACGGUAAAAUUGCCAUUGAAACUGAAGUUCUUGAGUAUGGUUGAGGUAGGCGGAAUGUGUUGUGUAGCGGUGAAAUGUAUAGAUAUGACACAGAACGCCGAUUGCGAAGGCAGCUUACUAAGCCAUUACUGACGCUAAGGCACGAAAGCGUGGGGAGCGAACAGGAUUAGAUA
rnacentral:rRNA from 1 species